rnacentral:rRNA from 1 species
UAUGGCGACCGGCGCACGGGUGAGUAACACGUAUCCAACCUGCCGAUGACUCGGGGAUAGCCUUCCGAAAGAAAGAUUAAUACCCGAUGGCAUAGUUCUUCCGCAUGGUAGAACUAUUAAAGAAUUUCGGUCAUCGAUGGGGAUGCGUUCCAUUAGCUUGUUGGCGGGGUAACGGCCCACCAAGGCAUCGAUGGAUAGGGGUUCUGAGAGGAAGGUCCCCCACAUUGGAACUGAGACACGGUCCAAACUCCUACGGAAGGCAGCAG